rnacentral:rRNA from 1 species
UCCCAUCUCGAACACAGUAGUUAAGCUCAUAAACGCCGAAAGUACUUGGCUGGAGACGGCCUGGGAGGAUAGGAAGCUGCUGAUU